AUAUCCCCAUAGGGUCUGUAAACAGAAACAGGAAACAGAAAUGAUUAGUUCACCUCUCGAGUCUUCGGUUUCGAAUCAUUCGUUCAUCACGUCACAGCCCCGCAUUCAACCUAUGGCGUGGUCACGUGAUGAACGAACGACUCGAACCUGAAGACUCCAGACGUGAGCAAAUCGUUUCUGUUUCCGGGGAACAGACGUGACAAUUGUGACGUGACAAAACAAUGAACGACUCGGAUCUGGAGCCCCAGCGCGCUAGGACCUCUCGUCCUUAAUUACUCCCUCACGCGCGCUAAUUAAUUUGCAAUGGAUGAGCAGGUGCGCUUGAGAAGGUAGUUGUAGGUUCCUGGUGAGCGCGUGUCUGGUUGUCUGCCAUGGCCAGAACCGGAUUCUAUGAUUCCAGGACACUGCUGGACCGCAAGGCAGAAGAAGCCCGAUUCCCUUUGCGCGCGUGGGCGAACGCAUGCACUGUGCGGGAGCGAGGGGUGCUGAGUGAGGGAGAGGAGCAGAAACAGCAGCCCAAAGCAGACAAUACAGAGCACAGAUGGGUAAACUUGCGACCUCUUUCUUCCAGCUAGAGUGUGAGGUGCACACGCUCCAGAUCAGUUUUCUUCAGUCACUCUGGGUGUUUUCUCUCACACUUUUUUUUUUUUUUUCUUUUCUUAACUAACCAUACUCACUUCUGUUAAAGUGAGCCUGAAAGGGAACUAGCUGCAAAUGGACUCUGUGGCCUUUUGAAUUAUUAUUUUUAUUAUUAUUAUU